CAAAGGCAGAGAAAAGGAGUUGUUAAAGGGUGCCCCAAGCCUGCCAGAAGAGGCCAAACAGAAAGAUUGGAAAGAGGAAGAGCUGAUCCACCCAGCCAGAGAGUUUGAAGGCUGAGAAGUCCAAGAUCAAGGUG